AGAAUUUGUAACACCCGAAGCCGGUGGCGUAACCUUUAGGGAGCGAGCCGUCUAAGGUGGGACAAAUGAUUAGGGUGAAGUCGUAACAAGGUAGCCGUAGGAGAACCUGCGGCUGGAUCACCUUCUUUCUAAGGAAACAGACUGAAAGUCUGACGGAAACCUGCACACACGAAACUUUGUUUAGUUUUGAGGGGACGACCCUCAAGCACCCUAACGGGUGCGACUUUGUUCUUUGAAAACUGGAUAUCAUUGUAUUAAUUGUUUUAAAUUGCCGAGAACACAGCGUAUUUGUAUGAGUUUCUGAAAAAGAAAUUCGCAUCGCAUAACCGCUGACGCAAGUCAGUACAGGUUAAGUUACAAAGGGCGCACGGUGGAUGCCUUGGCACUAGGAGCCGAUGAAGGACGGAACUAAUACCGAUAUGCUUCGGGGAGCUAUAAGUAACCCCUGAUCCGGAGAUUCCCGAAUGGGGGAACCCAGUACACAUCAGUGUAUUGCUUGUCAGUGAAUACAUAGCUGGCCGGCGGCAGACGCGGGGA
rnacentral:misc_RNA from 1 species